CAAUAUUUGAAUUUUAUUUAAAGCAAAUCCGUUACUUUCUUGUUUAUUCUGUUUCUUUAUAGGACGUGGCACUAAGGAGGAUUGUCCAGCCGCAGAUGACGCUGAAGAACCGUUACAAGCCGCUAACACCAGUCUGCUUCAGCAGCUUGGUUGAAAUGGAGAUUGGAUGAUGCACUGUGCCCAACUAAUCAUACACGUGAUGCCUUGAGAGGUCGGGGUCAGAUU